rnacentral:other from 1 species
AUUCCCCUGCCGUGAAUGUGAUUGCAGGAUAUAUUUUGAACCAAUACCAUAAUAUAAGGGCGCCUUCACUGGUUUUGGUGAGCAUGUUCCUAUUUUAAGGAAAAGCCUAAAGAAGCUACAAGGACGCCCGCUUUUGAACAAAAGGUUCAAAGAGUUCCUACAACACGUCAUUGAUGCGGGGGAACC